rnacentral:rRNA from 1 species
GACAGAGGGUGCGAACGUUGUUCGGAAUUACUGGGCGUAAAGCGCGUGUAGGCGGCAACGCAAGUCGGGCGUGAAAUCCCACGGCUCAACCGUGGAAGUGCACUCGAAACUGCGUAGCUAGAGUCCUGGAGAGGAAGGCGGAAUGCUUGGUGUAGAGGUGAAAUUCGUAGAUAUCAGGAAGAACACCGAUGGCGAAAGCAGCUCUCUGGGACGGUACUGACGCUGAGGCGCGAAAGCGUGGGGAGCGAACAGG